rnacentral:rRNA from 2 species
GUAGUUUGACUGGGGCGGUCUCCUCCUAAAGAGUAACGGAGGAGCACGAAGGUUGGCUAAUCCUGGUCGGACAUCAGGAGGUUAGUGCAAUGGCAUAAGCCAGCUUGACUGCGAGCGUGACGGCGCGAGCAGGUGCGAAAGCAGGUCAUAGUGAUCCGGUGGUUCUGAAUGGAAGGGCCAUCGCUCAACGGAUAAAAGGUACUCCGGGGAUAACAGGCUGAUACCGCCCAAGAGUUCAUAUCGACGGCGGUGUUUGGCACCUCGAUGUCGGCUCAUCACAUCCUGGGGCUGAAGUAGGUCCCAAGGGUAUGGCUGUUCGCCAUUUAAAGUGGUACGCGAGCUGGGUUUAGAACGUCGUGAGACAGUUCGGUCCCUAUCUGCCGUGGGCGCUGGAGAACUGAGGGGGGCUGCUCCUAGUACGAGAGGACCGGAGUGGACGCAUCACUGGUGUUCGGGUUGUCAUGCCAAUGGCACUGCCCGGUAGCUAAAUGCGGAAGAGAUAAGUGCUGAAAGCAUCUAAGCACGAAACUUGCCCCGAGAUGAGUUCUCCCUGAGACUUAGAGUCUCCUGAAGGAACGUUGAAGACGACGACGUUGAUAGGCCGGGUGUGUAAGCGCAGCGAUGCGUUGAGCUAACCGGUACUAAUGAACCGUGAGGCUUAACCUU